rnacentral:rRNA from 1 species
GACGAACGCUGGCGGCGUGCUUAACACAUGCAAGUCGAACGGCAAGGCCCUGCUUUUGUGGGGUGCUCGAGUGGCGAACGGGUGAGUAACACGUGAGUAACCUGCCCUUGACUUUGGGAUAACUUCAGGAAACUGGGGCUAAUACCGUAUCGGAGCUCCUGCUGCAUGGUGGGGGUUGGAAAGUUUCGGCGGUUGGGGAUGGACUCGCGGCUUAUCAGCUUGUUGGUUGGGUAGUGGCUUACCAAGGCUUUGACGGGUAGCCGGCCUGAGAGGGUGACCGGCCACAUUGGGACUGAGAGACGGCCCAGACGCCUACGGGAGGCAGCAGUGGGGAAUAUUGCACAAUGGGCGGAAGCCUGAUGCAGCAACGCCGCGUGCGGGAUGACGGCCUUCGGGGUGUAAACCGCUUUCGCCUGUGACGAAGCGUGAGUGACGGUAAUGGGUAAAGAAGCACCGGCUAACUACGUG